UACGUAGGGCGCAAGCGUUGUCCGGAAUUAUUGGGCGUAAAGAGCUCGUAGGCGGCUUGUCACGUCGGGUGUGAAAGCCCGGGGCUUAACCCCGGGUCUGCAUUCGAUACGGGCUAGCUAGAGUGUGGUAGGGGAGAUCGGAAUUCCUGGUGUAGCGGUGAAAUGCGCAGAUAUCAGGAGGAACACCGGUGGCGAAGGCGGUUCUCUGGGCAUGUCCUGACGCUGAGGAGCGAAAGUGUGGGGAGCGAGCAGG
rnacentral:rRNA from 1 species